GGGGAUGACGGGUUUCGACAGACAAGCUGUUGAAAGGAUUGCAGGCCGAGGUGCCGGUGUGCUCUCUCGUUAAACAACCGGCGAAAAAAUAACUGCCAACAAGGCAAAUUACUCCUACGCUCUCGCCGCUUAAUUAGGCGAGCGUCGUCCCUCUGACUUUCGCCUGUGGGGUCAGAUGUGGGCGCCGACGACACGGGCUGCGGUGCUGGUGAUCGCCCUCUAACCGGCAUCUAAGACCAGAGGGCCAGCGCUGAGGAAUCCUGUCGGUGGGAGUCCUCUGCGCAUAGCAAUACACCGACUAAGCCUGUAGGAUAUCCUUUAACAGGGUUGCCUGGACGGGGAGUUCAACUCUCCCCCAUCUCCACCA
rnacentral:tmRNA from 1 species